GUCAACUAACCCUCGACUGAAGUCGAAGGCAUGAGGAGCAAUCCAUUAUGCCUGGUUGAUUAGCCUCAGUGCUUCGGGCACUACGUUGUUUUUGUCAUAACACCCCCGGACGUCCAUCCUAAUCCGUGGCUCUGUUGCCUGUGAUUAAAAGUUCUCCUGGGUUAACGGGAAUGGUGUUGCAGGCGUAAAAAGCAAUUACAACAUUGGCGAAGGAUGCCAAC
rfam:Youngiibacter fragilis 232.1 contig_21, whole genome shotgun sequence.